rnacentral:rRNA from 1 species
GUUAUCCGGAUUCAUUGGGUUUAAAGGGUGCGUAGGCGGACUAUUAAGUCAGUGGUGAAAUCCUGCAGCUUAACUGCAGAACUGCCAUUGAUACUGAUAGCCUUGAGUUUGGUUAAGGUAGGCGGAAUGCGUAAUGUAGCGGUGAAAUGCUUAGAUAUUACACGGAACACCAAUUGCGUAGGCAGCUUACUGAGCCGACACUGACGCUGAGGCACGAAAGCGUGGGGAUCGAACAGGAUUAGAUACCCUGGUAGUCCACGCCGUAAACGAUGAUUACUCGCUGUUGGCGAUACACUGUCAGCGGCUAAGCAAAAGCGAUAAGUAAUCCACCUGGGGAGUACGGCCGCAAGGUUGAAACUCAAAGGAAUUGACGGGGGCCCGCACAAGCGGAGGAACAUGUGGUUUAAUUCGAUGAUACGCGAGGAACCUUACCUGGGCUUAAAUGUAGAGUGCAUUUUCUAGAGAUAGGAAUUCCCUUCGGGGCUUUCUGCAAGGUGCUGCAUGGUUGUCGUCAGCUCGUGCCGUGAGGUGUCGGGUUAAGUCCCAUAACGAGCGCAACCCUUAUCGUUAGUUGCCAUCUGGUAAAGCAGGGGACUCUAGCGAAACUGCCACCGUAAGGUGAGAGGAAGGUGGGGAUGACGUCAAAUCAGCACGGCCCUUAUGUCCAGGGCUACACACGUGUUACAAUGGUCGGUACAGAGGGCAGCUACCUGGUGACAGGAUGCUAAUCUCGAAAACCGGUCUCAGUUCGGAUCGAAGUCUGCAACUCGACUUCGUGAAGCUGGAUUCGCUAGUAAUCGCGCAUCAGCCAUGGCGCGGUGAAUACGUUCCCGGGCCUUGUACACACCGCCCGUCAAGCCAUGGAAGCUGGGGGUGCCUGAAGUCCGUAACCGAAAGGAGCGGCCUAGGGUAAAACUAGUGACUGGGGCUAAGUCGUAACAAGGUA